rnacentral:rRNA from 1 species
AUGGAGAGGAGCUGGUUCGGGUGGAGGAAGGCGAAGCAGGGCGGAGGUGGCGGUGCCGGCGGCGGCGGCGGGGAGAAGGAGGAGGAUCAGGCCAAGGUGGUGGUGGACGGGUCCGGGAUACGGGAGCUGGUGGAGGACAGGGAGGCGUUCGGCAUGUUCGCGGAGAGCAAGUUCCGGCAGCUCGACGCCGACGGGGACGGCAGGCUGUCCGUGCGGGAGCUGCAGCCCGCCGUGGCCGACAUCGGCGCGUCGCUCGGCCUGCCCGCGCAGGGCUCCUCGCCCAACGCCGACCACAUCUACUCCGAGAGCAAGCAUACGAGUUUCUGCUUGGUGGUGUGUGCUCAGUUCGGCGCUUGGCACAUGAAACUCCACAGCAAGGCUAUGAGUGAGUUCACUCAUGGUCACGGGAACCAAGAGGGUGUAAGCAGGGCAGAGUUCCAGGAGGUACUGUCCGACAUUCUCCUCGGCAUGGCGGCCGGGCUCAAGAAGGACCCGAUCGUGAUACUGCGCAUCGACGGCGAGGACCUCAGGGACUUCGUGUCCAGCCCAAGGUAUGAGCCGGCAGUCGCUGCCAUCUUCUCACAGGUUGUGUCUGGAGACCUCUCUCUCCGGCAAUGCCUGCUAGCUGCUGUCCAGCAGCUCGGCGUCGACCACGGCAUGCCCCCGGCUGCUGACCCUUGGGUGGUAGAGAACGUGGUAGAGCCGGCAUUGCAGCAGCUCUCCGCCGAUGAGCUCGAGCAACCGUCGUCCCGGGACGUCUUCUUUGAGCAGCUGAAGAAGCUCCUGGGCAGCGUGGCGGAUCAGCUUCAGGAGCGGCACGUGAUCGUUGCGCACACCGAGAACACCUUCGACGGGAGCGGCGUCAGGAGGCUGCUGGGAAACAAGUUCGAGCUGGACAAGCUGCUGGAUUCUGUGUGGAGGGACGUGCCGGCAGAGCACAGGAAGAAGGCGCCCAAGGGCAAGGAGCACCUGCGAGUCGCACUCGAUAAGAUGGCCGAUGCAGCAAGCUUACCACCUCAUGGCGCUGUUGCUCAGGUGGACGCCGUGGUGGACGAGGCGCUCAAGGUGGCGGACGCCGGCGACGGGAAGGCGGUUGAAGAAGCCGAGUUCAAGAAGCUGCUGACGGAGGUCCUUGGAGCUGUGAUGCUGCGGCUGAGCGGCCAACCAAUCUUCUUCUCCACCAGCACCGUCGUCCACGAGCCGCUAUCCACUUCGGCCACCCUGUUGCCCUCGCCGGCGGCGGCAUCGCCGCCGAGUGAGUAG